GUAGUCGUGGCCGAGUGGUUAAUGCGAUGGACUAGAAAUCCAUUGGACUCUGCCCGCGCAGGUUCGAAUCCUGCCGACUACG
rnacentral:tRNA from 1 species